GAGAGAGAGAGAGAGAGAGAGAACGCGCGCGCGUGCGACCGCGCACAGCGCGCAGGAGUGAGCACGAACAGGGGGAGGGGCAGAGGGGGGAAGCGGACUCCCUGCCAAAGGUAGACGCUUAACCGACUGAGCCACCCAGGCGCCCCUAUUAUUAUUAAUUUUAGAUAAAAUUCCGUGAGGCCAUAGAAGUUAUUAUGCAAAAGCACAAUCCUUUAAAAUUUAUGGAGCUUUUUUAUGGCCCAACAUACGGUGUAUGUGGGUGAAUGUGCAAAGCACUCUUGUAACGAAUCUUUAUUUUCUGUGGAGGACAAGGUUUUGCACCUCCCCCUGCUGGAAUCCCUCUGCCAUCCCCCACAGAGGCGACCCAGAGCCCGUGGGAUUCCAACUGCAGGGGGCCAGAGCCCCUCCGGAACCCCGCACGUGCUCAGCCGGCGGCCCCACGUUCCAGCCCAUCCGCCUCCCCUCAGCGAGGCUCCGUCCUGUUUGCGCAGCCGCAAAGCUGUCCUCCAGUGCAGCGCCCCCACCGCGUGGUAGAGCCCGUCUAGGCUCUCGCAAGCAGGGCGCCCCCACAGGCUUAGACUCCCACUCCGAAAGGUCUGAAGAACUCUCGUCAGCUACACAGCCGGAAACCGUGUGACGGAGCCCACCAAGCACGCGGUGCUAAAGCCACGUGCGCUUCCGGAUGCUCCCAGAAGCCCCCGGGCGCAGAAGGCGGAAAGUUCUCGGGGCGUGUCUUUACCAGGCAAAUGAUUGGCUCAGGAGAGCACGUGACGAGGCACUGUUACUGUAGCGACAUACCAGUGAGUCUCACGAGAUUGAUGUUCCGAGAUCGGUGUUCCGAGACUGAAGUUCCGAGGCUUGUGAGCCUCGCGAAGUAAUUGCCGGGGCUCGGCGCCCCGUGGAUCUUCUGCCAGUGAAGUGGCCUACCGACAAAGUAGUGGAGUUGGAGAAGGAGUAAACUUACAGGUGGAGAACUCAUUUUGCAAAAUUGGUCAAAUUUUCUUUAAAGUUUAUUUUCUAUUCUUGGUGAUGUCAUAAAGAUAUUCUAUACUUUUAUUGAUUUCUUAUCUAGCUGUAUCAGUUCCUAAGGCAGAAGUGUUAAAAUCGCCACCUAUAAUUAUGAAAAAGUCUGUUUCUCUCUUUAUUCUGUCAAGUUUUAUUACAUAUAUUUUGAAGCUCUGUUAUUGGGUACUAGUACAUUUAUAAAUUCUAUGUGUUCCUGACUAAUUGACCCUUAUAUCAUUAUUACCUUUCACGUCAGGCAAUAUUCUUUGUCUUUAAAUACAUUAUGUCUAAUAUUAAUAUAGCCAUUCCCACUUUCUUAGGCUUACUCUCUGCAUGGUAUACAAUUUGGGAUUCUCUUACUAUCAACAUAUCUGAGUCAUUAUUUUUAAAUUGUGUCUCUUGUAGACAGCAAAAUCCUUGCUCUUUCUUCAUUCUGACAAUCUCUGCCUUUCAAUCGGAGUGUUUAACCCAUUAACAUUGAGUAUAAUUUUUGAAUGGUAGGAUUUAAGUGUAUGCUUUUUCUGUCUUAGUGGGCUCAUCAGGCUGCUGUAACAAAAUACCAUAGACUGGGGUGCUUAGAAAUGACAAAUAUUUGUUUCUCACAGUUCUGGAGGCUAGGAAGUCCAAGAUUAAGGUGCUCGCCUGUUUUAUAUCUGGUGAGAGCCCACUUCCCAGUUAACAGCCGUCUUCUCACCAUGUCCUCACAUGGCAGAAGAGGUGAGGAACCUCUCUGGAGUCUCCCUUUUAAGGGCACUAAUCCCAUUCAAAGACUCCUCCCCAUGACCUAAUAUCCUCCUAAAGUCUCCACCUCCUAAUGCACUGGGCAUGAGGAUCCAACAUGUGAAUUUUGGGAAGGACACACACUUUCAGUCUGUAGCACUGUUUAUCUAUUUUUGUUCCUACGUUCCCCUUUUCCUGCCUGAGAUAAUCAAUUAUUUUAAAUCCCAUUUUAACUUGUCUAUUGAUUUUUUUUAAGAUUUCAUUUAUUAAUCUGACAGAGAGAGAGAGAGAGUGGCAGAGGGAAAGGGAAAUGCAGGCCCCCCGCUGAGCAGGGAACGCAACGUGGAGCUUGAUCCCAGGACUUCGGGAUCAUGACCUGAACUGAAGGCAGAUGCUUAACCGACUGAGCCACCCAGGCGCCCCUUGUCUAUUGCUUUUUUAAGCAAUUAUCAUUUUGCACUGAUUCAUUGUGGUUGCUCUAGAGACUAUAAUAUAUAUCCUUAACUGUUCGCUUGUCUACUUGUGGUUAAUACUGUACUACUUUACAUAAAUGUAAGAAGAUUUCCACCAGAUAGAUUCAUUCGCCCUCUACCUCAUCCUUUAUGCUG
rnacentral:lncRNA from 1 species